UUUUGAAACCUGGAAAUUCAAACUGCAGUGGGCUGACUUGGAGCUGCUUCACCUGGACAGGGUGUUGUGCCCCUAUUUAGGCUAGAAAACCCUACCUUUGGGUAAUUUGAUGAUUGGUUGUAUUGGAGCUCAGAGCUUGCAGGUGGGAGUAAGCUUCUCUUGAAACAAGGGAAAGGUCAAUCCUGGGACUGGGAGGGGUUGAAAGGCCAGUCUUGGUCAGCUGUGAGCAAAAGAACUUCCUCCUCUCUCUAGGCUGAGGGGUAGAAAUUGGGCCAGUAUCUCCACACCCCGACAACUUCCAAAUGCCGCUCUGGCCACAGGGAGGCAGGAAGUAUCCCUGGUGUGGGACAGUCCUGGGAGGGUCCCAGGAUGGCUCUGGGCCUAUUUUGUGCUUACAAAUUAUUCUCCAUACUCUUCUUCCUUCCAUUAUCCGUAGACUUCCCCCUCAAACCCCGAAACGGAGUCUCACUCUGUUGCCCAGGCUGGAGUGCAGUGCCGUGGUCUCGACUCACUGCAACCUCCGCCUCCCAGGUUCAAGCGAUUCUUGUGCAAUAGCCUCUGAGUAGCUGGAAUUACAGGAGUGCACAACCACUCCCGGCUAUUGUUUGUAUUUUUAAUAGAGGCAGGGUUUCACCACGUUGGCCAGGCUUGUCUCAAUCUCCCAACCUCAGGUGAUCUGCCCAACUCCUCGGCCUCGCAAAGUGCUGAGACUGUAGGCGUGAGCCACCGCGCUGGGCCUAUCCUCAGGCUUUUACUAAAGACACUUAAAGGUUACAGCCUGGUCUUUCUUAUUUGAGUUAGUUUCCAAUGACUGCUGAACAGAUUCACAAACUUGUCUUAACACAACAGAAAUUUGUUAUCUCGCAGUGCUGGAGGCCAAAAGCUAAAAUCAAGAUGUCGGCAGGACUGUGCUUAUUACAACGGCUUGGGGAGAAUCCUUCUUUCUGUCUCCCGCUUUAGGCCCCUGUGUUCUUGGCUUGUGGCAGCAUCACUCUACGCUGUCUGUCUCCACGUGGCCUUGCCUCCGUGCCUGUUUUCCCUCUUCUUCUCCUAUGUGAACACCGUCACUGGAAUUAGAGUGCACCCUGGUAAUCUAGGAUGAUCUCAUCUUGAGAUGCUUAAUUUCAUUACUUUGCAAGGAUCCUAUUUCCAAAGGUCACACUCACAGAUUCCAGUCGGACAUGAUUUUUUUUGAGGCAGGUCCAUUCAACGUGCUAUCAUUGUGGUGUGGGAAAUUCAAGACAGAAACUGCACCACCUUGGAGACAAACUGGACUAGUGGAGAGCAGUGUUCCUUCCCCUACAGCCAGAGCUGGGGGAACAACUCGGCACAGUGGAGGUCUCACAAGGCACCAGGAGUAAAGCAAUAGCAUCCUCCUGGGACAUACAGCGAUGGCCCCCACACCUGGAAGGACUCAAGCUCUGAAUCCAGCACCUUCAGGAAGCAAGUGAUGGCAUCCCAGAGGCCCUAUGCUUGAGACAGACUGACGAAAACAGGUGGAUCUAGGUAAAAUCAGUCUCUGCUACCCUCCUCAUCUAAACCCUCAGUGCAGGGCCACCUUGGAAGCCAUGUGUUAACACUGAGUGAUCCUCCUCAGCCAAGUCCCUAAUGCAUGGAAAAGAACCUCCUGACCCAGUCCCCAAAGGCUGGACUUUUCCUUUGCAAGAAAUAAGGAGGGUAAAGUUCACCAUAAAUAACAAAGUCAUGGAGUCAAGCUGUCACAAUUGGCCACCGUUCCUAAGGCAUUUGAAUUGUAUGCAUUGACAGGAAAAAGCAGGAAGGAGUGAAGACAGAACAAGGGGAGAAUGUAACCUGAGUUGGAAGGUGUAAUAUUUAAAUGUAUUUGCAAACCUGUUUUGGGCCAAAAGGGGUAGGAGGAAGAGAAGACGCAUUUGCUGAGAUCUAUUAUAUGCCAAUUGGAGGACUACAGAUUUCACAAUUCACAUCUGUUGUCUUAUUUCUUUCUCAUAAUCCCAAAGAUAAUUCUAAAGUUACACAUUAUCAUCUCCAUUUACAAUUAAGAACUGAUGCUCCAAGAAGAAAGAUCUCACAGUGUGUAGGCAACAGACCUAAGAUUCAAACCUAUAUUGGUGGGUGUUAAUGUCCUUGUUCUUUCUGAUGUAAGCAUGUAACAUUUCCACAUCUCUGAUUCCAUGCUCAAGGUGGGCCAAGCCAUGCUGCUUGUAAGACAGGGUGCCUGUGAUGACACAAGUCAUUAAUGCAAGUGUUAAGUGCCAUGCAAGCACAGAAGCCACUUAAAAUGGGUUUUCGGAAAUGAAAGCUGGGCUCAAACAGAGCCCACUUUCAAGGGGGCCUGGUUUAAGUGGCCAAACUCUCAAGAAGAAAGGCAUUAAAGGAAGAGCCUUUCUGCUGGGCUGGCAAAACUUUAGGUUCAUGAAUUCAGGAGGAGACUGAGGAGGAGAAAACAGGGUUUUAGAAUGCAGCCUCAGGAGCUGCCUGCACCUCUCAGGCCAGGAGGUUGGCUUUUCCAAUUGUGCGAUUAAGCUAUUCUACCCAGCCCCACCUCUCAUUUUCAAUUAAUCUGCACUAAUGAAUUCAACAACCAAAAUGCAUUUGCUAAUUGAGGUGCUUGCUGGCCAGGUCAUCCGCGCUCCCUUGUCUAACAGCUGGUACUCCCCACUGUGCCACGGUAAAGUAGGGUAGUAGAGGCCUCUGCUCCCCUCAUCCCCUGCUGCCCCUGAGGGGAAUACCCAGUGGGCAAGAAAAGGCCCAGCCUGGGAGAGAAUGCUCAUAAUAUAUUACUAAGUCACAGACAGAAAUUGCUCCUCCGGGCAGUCUUUCACUUUUUGUUUCUAAGUGAAAGCUCAUGACCAUCCCAGCCAUAUUAUCUCCCUGGCCCUUGGAAGCUGUUAUGUAAUGGAAAGGGCAUUAAACUCAGGCCAGGAAAUUCUUGAUACAGAACCCAGACUGUUGUUGAUAACUGGGUUGACUUUGGAAAGUGACUGCCUCCCUCCCUCUCGGUUUGCUCAUCUGGAAAAUGAAACUAAUGGAACUGACCUUGGAGUCAUGGUGAAGUGCCCGUGAAUGUAAUCAGAACAUCUCAGUUUCUUCUUCUAUACUGAGGGGCAUGGCCAGUUGGGCAUGGGGAGAUGGUAC
rnacentral:lncRNA from 1 species